rnacentral:rRNA from 1 species
UUGCUUCUGAUACUUAGUGGCGGACGGGUGAGUAAUGCUUAGGAAUCUGCCUAGUAGUGGGGGAUAACUUGGGGAAACCCAAGCUAAUACCGCAUACGACCUACGGGUGAAAGGGGGCUUUUAGCUCUCGCUAUUAGAUGAGCCUAAGUCGGAUUAGCUGGUUGGUGGGGUAAAGGCCUACCAAGGCGACGAUCUGUAGCUGGUCUGAGAGGAUGAUCAGCCACACUGGGACUGAGACACGGCCCAG